UGCAAAUGAUGGCAGAGGAUGCAGUAAUGAAGCCCGCAUUGCAUGUGGUGACAAGGUCGUUAGUAUAAACCACACUGAUGCACA